GGAGGAAAAGAAACUAACAAGGAUUCCCCUAGUAACUGCGAGUGAAGCGGGAAGAGCUCAAAUUUAAAAUCUGGCGCCUUCGGCGUCCGAGUUGUAACCUAGAGAAGCGUUUUCCGCGUCGGAUCGUGUACAAGUCCCUUGGAACAGGGCGUCAUAGAGGGUGAGAAUCCCGUUCUUGACACGACUGCCGAGGCUGUGUGAUGCGCUCUCAAAGAGUCGAGUUGUUUGGGAAUGCAGCUCAAAAUGGGUGGUAAAUUCCAUCUAAAGCUAAAUAUUGGCGAGAGACCGAUAGCGAACAAGUACCGUGAGGGAAAGAUGAAAAGCACUUUGGAAAGAGAGUCAAACAGUACGUGAAAUUGCUGAAAGGGAAGCGCUUGAAGUCAGUCGCGUCUGUCGGAUUCAGCCUUAACGGUGUAUUUCUGACUGACGGGCCAACAUCGAUUUUGACCGACGGAAAAGGGUUUGAGGAAGGUGGCCGUUCGCGGUGUUAUAGCCUCUUGCCGUACACGUCGGUUGGGAUCGAGGACCGCGGCUUUGCCUAGGAUGUUGGCGUAAUGGCUUUCAACGACCCGUCUU
rnacentral:rRNA from 1 species